CUUAAAGAGUUCGUAGGUGGUUGAAAAAGUUGGUGGUGAAAUCCCAGAGCUUAACUCUGGAACUGCCAUCAAAACUUUUCAGCUAGAGUAUGAUAGAGGAAAGCAGAAUUUCUAGUGUAGAGGUGAAAUUCGUAGAUAUUAGAAAGAAUACCAAUUGCGAAGGCAGCUUUCUGGAUCAUUACUGACACUGAGGAACGAAAGCAUGGGUAGCGAAGAGGAUUAGAUACCCUCGUAGUCCAUGCCGUAAACGAUGUGUGUUAGACGUUGGAAAUUUAUUUUCAGUGUCGCAGCGAAAGCGAUAAACACACCGCCUGGGGAGUACGACCGCAAGGUUAAAACUCAAAUGAAUUGACGGGGACCCGCACAAGUAGUGGAGCAUGUGGUUUAAUUCGAAGAUACGCGCAGAACCUUACCAACACUUGACAUGUUCGUCGCGACUCUAAGAGAUUAGAGUUUUCGGUUCGGCCGGACGAAACACAGGUGCUGCAUGGCUGUCGUCAGCUCGUGUCGUGAGAUGUUGGGUUAAGUCCCGCAACGAGCGCAACCCUCACUUUUAGUUGCCAUCAUUAAGUUGGGCACUCUGAAAGAACUGCCAGUGAUAAGCUGGAGGAAGGUGGGGAUGACGUCAAGUCCUCAUGGCCCUUACGUGUUGGGCUACACACGUGCUACAAUGGUAUCUACAACAGGAAGCAAGACUGCGAGGUCAAGCAAAUCCUUAAAAGAUACCUCAGUUCGGAUUGCACUCUGCAACUCGAGUGCAUGAAGCUGGAAUUACUAGUAAUCGUGGAUCAGCGUGCCACGGUGAAUGCGUUCCCGGGUCUUGUACACACCGCCCGUCACACCAUGGGAGUUGGUUCUACCUUAAGGCAAGGUUAAAACCCU
rnacentral:rRNA from 1 species